rnacentral:rRNA from 1 species
AGUCACUGACAUUAGAUACCCCGGUAGUCCAGGGUGUAAACGCUGCAGACUUGGUGUUGGAAGUCCUUUGGGGGCAUUCAGUGCCGGAGAGAAGUUGUUAAGUCUGCUACUUGGGGAGUACGUCCGCAAGGAUGAAACUUAAGAAUUGGCGGGGGAGCACCGCAACGGGAGGAGCGUGCGGUUUAAUUGGAUUCAACACCGUAAAACUCACCAGGGAAGACUGUUACAUGAAAGCCGAGAUGAAGACUCUGCUAGAUUUUCAG